rnacentral:misc_RNA from 1 species
GAUGAAGAACGUAGCGAAAUGCGAUAAGUAAUGUGAAUUGCAGAAUUCAGUGAAUCAUCGAAUCUUUGAACGCACCUUGCGCCCUUUGGACUUCUGAAGGGCAUGCCUGUUUGAGCGUCAUUUCAACCCUCACGCCCCUAGGGCGUGGUGUUGGGGAUCGGCCAGCGCCCUCGCGGGCGAGGCCGUCCCCUAAAUCUAGUGGCGGACCCGUCGUGGCCUCCCCUGCGAAGUAGUGAUAUUCCGCAUAGGAGAGCGACGAGCCCCUGCCGUUAAACCCCCAACUUUCUCAGGUUGACCUCAGAUCAGGUAGGAAUACCCGCUGAACUUAAGCAUAUCAAUAAGCGGAGGA